rnacentral:tRNA from 1 species
GCCUGGGUGGCUAAGUCAGUUAAGUGUCUGACUUCGGCUCAGGUCAUGAUUUCAUGCGUUUGUGAGUUCAAGCCCCAUGUCAGGCU